GAUCAUGGCUCAGAUUGAACGCUGGCGGCAGGCUUAACACAUGCAAGUCGAACGGUAACAUAAAGGAGCUUGCUUCUUUGAUGACGAGUGGCGGACGGGUGAGUAAUGCUUGGGAAUCUAGCUUAUGGAGGGGGAUAACUACGGGAAACUGUAGCUAAUACCGCGUAGAAUCGAGAGAUGAAAGUGUGGGACCUUCGGCCGACAUGCCAUAGGAUGAGCCCAACGUGGGAUUAGGUAGUUGG
rnacentral:rRNA from 1 species